AAUGAACGCUGGCGGCAUGCCUAACACAUGCAAGUCGAACGAGACCUUCGGGUCUAGUGGCGCACGGGUGCGUAACGCGUGGGAAUCUACCCUUGGGUUCGGAAUAACAGUUAGAAAUGACUGCUAAUACCGGAUGAUGACGUAAGUCCAAAGAUUUAUCGCCCAGGGAUGAGCCCGCGUAGGAUUAGCUAGUUGGUGUGGUAAAAGCGCACCAAGGCGACGAUCCAGCUGGUCUGAGAGGAUGAUCAGCCACACUGGGACUGAGACACGGCCCAGACUCCUACGGGAGGCAGCAGUGGGGAAUAUUGGACAAUGGGCGAAAGCCUGAUCCAGCAAUGCCGCGUGAGUGAUGAAGGCCUUAGGGUUGUAAAGCUCUUUUACCCGGGAUGAUAAUGACAGUACCGGGAGAAUAAGCUCCGGCUAACUCCGUGCCAGCAGCCG
rnacentral:rRNA from 1 species